UACGUAGGGUGCGAGCGUUAAUCGGAAUUACUGGGCGUAAAGCGUGCGCAGGCGGUUUGUUAAGUUCGUUGUGAAAGCCCCGGGCUCAACCUGGGAACUGCAAUGGAAACUGGCGGGCUUGAGUGUGGCAGAGGGGGGUGGAAUUCCGCGUGUAGCAGUGAAAUGCGUAGAGAUGCGGAGGAACACCGAUGGCGAAGGCAGCUCUCUGGUCGACAUCUGACGCUGAGACGCGAAAGCGUGGGGAGCGAACAGG
rnacentral:rRNA from 1 species